rnacentral:rRNA from 1 species
UGUGUAGGCGGUGCUCUAAGUUUGGUGUGAAAUCUCCCGGCUUAACUGGGAGGGUGCGCCGAAAACUGGAGUGCUCGAGUAUGGGAGAGGUAAGCGGAAUUCCUGGUGUAGCGGUGAAAUGCGUAGAUAUCAGGAGGAACACCUGUGGUGUAGACAGCUUACUGGACCAUCACUGACGCUGAGACACGAAAGCGUGGGUAGCAAACA